GGUUCCUUCUGUCAACAACUGCCUUAUGCACACCGUCUGAAUACAUCUGCGUGGGAAAUGGGACCCUGCUGCUUUGUGCGUAAUUACAGCAAAACGUGAUGCUCCCCUCUGCAGAGCGUGGGGCACCGGCGGUCACGGGAAGGAGCCGGAAAGCGUCGGGAUGACACGUCCCCGCCGUCCCAGGGGAGAAAAAACGUGCACAAGGGAAUGUGGGACUCGAGGUGGGUCAGGAAGCGUCCUUUCACCUUCCUCCUCUCUGAAGAACAAGAAGGCAGCGUUUGUCAGGCAGAGGAAAGGGAGCCGAAACGCAGCAGGAGCCGUGGGGAGCCCGCUGCAGGCAGCCGACCGCAAGGAGAUAGCAUCCCUGUGAACACGCAUCAGAGACUGCACACAUUCGAGUCCCACAUCAACGACAUGCAGAUUCCCCCUCGAAUUCAGAUGCUUUCAGCCAAAACCCUCUGUUGCGCAUUUUGGCGCACAGAGAAAACUGAUUUUGGUGAGCUUUUCAGUGGUUCAGUAAACUCGGAGGUGCUUCCUGUGACCACAGCCCUCCAGGCCUGCUCAUGUACAGCACAGCGUAUCACUAACUGUGCCACAAGGCCAGACGACUGCAACACAUUGUGAUAAAACCAUUAAAAA